rfam:Arabidopsis lyrata subsp. lyrata unplaced genomic scaffold ARALYscaffold_8, whole genome shotgun sequence.
UUACUUACCUGGACGGGGUCAACUUGUGAUCAAGAAGACGAGUGGCCUAAGCUAGUGACUUCCAUUGCACAAAAAGGAGGGGUGCUUAGCUUAAGGUCUCCCCAAGUGGGAGAGCCUGCGUCAUUAUUUGUGGCAGAGGGGGCCUGCGUUCGCGCGGUCCCUAC